rnacentral:rRNA from 1 species
UAAUGUCUGGGAAACUGCCUGAUGGAGGGGGAUAACUGCUGGAAACGGUAGCUAAUACCGCAUAACGUCGCAAGACCAAAGUGGGGACCUUCGGGCCUCAUGCCAUCAGAUGUGCCCAGAUGGGAUUAGCUAGUAGGUGGGGUAACGGCUCACCUAGGCGACGAUCCCUAGCUGGUCUGAGAGGAUGGCCAGCCACACUGGAACUGAGACACGGUCCAG